GAUGAAGAACGUAGUGAAAUGCGAUAAGUAAUGUGAAUUGCAGAAUUCCGUGAAUCAUCGAAUCUUUGAACGCACAUUGCGCCCUCUGGUAUUCCGGAGGGCAUGCCUGUCCGAGCGUCAUUGCAACCUUCAAGCACAGCUUGUGUGUUGGACUUUGUUUUCUUUUCUGAAAACAGGUCCGAAAAGCAGUGGCGGCGCCCGAUCCGGUGCCCGAGCGUAUGGGAAAUCAUUGCUCAAUGUGGCCCGGCUGGUGCUGGUCAAAACUAUUAUUUUUUACCGGUUGACCUCGGAUCAGGUAGGGAUACCCGCUGAACUUAAGCAUAUCAAUAAGCGGAGGA
rnacentral:misc_RNA from 1 species